rnacentral:rRNA from 1 species
AGAGUUUGAUCCUGGCUCAGGACGAACGCUGGCGGCGUGCUUAACACAUGCAAGUCGAACGGAGAUAAUUAGUAGUAAUAUUAAUUAUCUUAGUGGCGGACGGGUGAGUAACACGUGGGUAACCUGCCCUAUGGAGGGGGAUAACAUCCAGAAAUGGGUGCUAAUACCGCAUAAUAUAGUUUUGUUGCAUGAUAAGACUAUCAAAGAUUUAUUGCCAUAGGAUGGACCCGCGGCCCAUUAGCUAGUUGGUGAGGUAACGGCUCACCAAGGCGACGAUGGGUAGCCGAUCUGAGAGGAUGAACGGCCACAUUGGAACUGAGACACGGUCCAGACUCCUACGGGAGGCAGCAGUGGGGAAUAUUGCACAAUGGGGGAAACCCUGAUGCAGCAACGCCGCGUGAGUGAUGAAGGCCUUCGGGUUGUAAAACUCUGUCUUAGCUGACGAUAAUGACGGUAAGCUAGGAGGAAGCCACGGCUAACUACGUGCCAGCAGCCGCGGUAAUACGUAGGUGGCGAGCGUUGUCCGGAAUUACUGGGCGUAAAGGGAGCGUAGGCGGUUUAUUAAGUGGGAUGUGAAAUCCCCGGGCUUAACCUGGGAAUUGCAUUCCAAACUGGUAGACUAGAGUGCGGGAGAGGAAAGUGGAAUUCCAAGUGUAGCGGUGAAAUGCGUAGAGAUUUGGAGGAACACCAGUGGCGAAGGCGACUUUCUGGACCGUAACUGACGCUGAUGCUCGAGAGCGUGGGGAGCAAACAGGAUUAGAUACCCUGGUAGUCCACGCUGUAAACGAUGAAUACUAGGUGUAGGGGGCGAAGCCUUCUGUGCCGCAGUUAACACAAUAAGUAUUCCGCCUGGGGAGUACGAUCGCAAGAUUAAAACUCAAAGGAAUUGACGGGGGCCCGCACAAGCAGCGGAGCAUGUGGUUUAAUUCGAAGCAACGCGAAGAACCUUACCAAGGCUUGACAUCCUAAGAAGACUGAAGAGAUUCGGUUGUGCCUUUCGGGGAACUUAGAGACAGGCGGUGCAUGGUUGUCGUCAGCUCGUGUCGUGAGAUGUUGGGUUAAGUCCCGCAACGAGCGCAACCCCUAUUGUUAGUUGCUACCAUUAAGUUGAGCACUCUAGCGAGACUGCCGAGGUUAACUCGGAGGAAGGUGGGGAUGGCGUCAAAUCAUCAUGCCCUUUAUGCCUUGGGCAACACACGUGCUACAAUGGUUGGUACAAAGAGAAGCAAGACAGUGAUGUGGAGCAAAUCUCAAAAACCAAUCCCAGUUCGGAUUGCAGGCUGCAACUCGCCUGCAUGAAGCUGGAGUUGCUAGUAAUCGUGAAUCAGAAUGUCACGGUGAAUGCGUUCCCGGGCCUUGUACACACCGCCCGUCACACCAUGAGAGUCGGCAACACCCGAAGUCAGUGAGCUAACCGUAAGGGGGCAGCUGCCGAAGGUGGGGUCGAUGAUUGGGGUGAAGUCGAAACAAGGUA